rnacentral:rRNA from 1 species
GGUGAAUGCUGGCGGCGUGGAUAAGUCAUGCAAGUCAAGGGGGCCCGCAAGGGCAACCGGCAAACGAGGUAGUAACACGUAGGUAGACCCCCCAGAGUCGGGCAUAGCCAGCCGAAAGGUUGGGUAAUUCCCGAUAGUCCCGAAAGGGUAAAGGUUUUUCGCUCUGGGAGUUGCCUGCGUAGUAUCAGCUAGUUGGUAGGGUAAUGGCCUACCAAGGCUACGACGCUUAGGGGAGCUGAGAGGCUGACCUCCACCGAUGGAACUGCGACACGGUCCAUACUCCUACGGGAGGCUGCAGACGAGAAUAUUCCGCAAUGGGCGAAAGCCUGACGGAGCGACGCCGCGUGAUUGAUGAAGUGCUUCGGUACGUAAAGAUCUUUUAUCGGGGACGAAGUUUAUUGACGGUACCGAUGAAUAAGGGGCUCCUAACUCUGUGCCAGCAGCGCGGUAAU